rnacentral:snRNA from 1 species
GUGCUCACUUCAGCAGCACAUGUACUAAAAUCGGAAUGGUACAGAGAAGAUUAGCGUGGCCCCUGCACGAGGAUGACACGCAAAUACGUGAAGCGUUCCAUACUUUU